CCACCCCCCGACCCCCUCCUCUGAAGAGGAGGGGGAGUUAAGAGGCUGAAUCCAAAGCCCGCUCCUCUUCAAAAGAGGAAGUUAGGAGGCUGAAUUCAAAGCCCCCUCCUCUUCAGAGGAGGGGGUUGGGGGUGGU
rnacentral:sRNA from 1 species